UACGAAGGGGGCUAGCGUUGCUCGGAAUCACUGGGCGUAAAGGGUGCGUAGGCGGGUCUUUUAAGUCAGGGGUGAAAUCCUGGAGCUCAACUCCAGAACUGCCUUUGAUACUGAAGAUCUCGAGUCCGGGAGAGGUGGAGUGGAACUGCGAGUGUAGAGGUGAAAUUCGUAGAUAUUCGCAAGAACACCAGUGGCGAAGGCGGCUCACUGGCCCGGUACUGACGCUGAGGCACGAAAGCGUGGGAGCAA
rnacentral:rRNA from 1 species